rnacentral:lncRNA from 1 species
GUGACCAUGGAGGCCAGAGAGGACAUCAGACACACUCAGCCUCCUAUGUAGUGCUGGGAACCAAACCAAGGUUGUCCUGUAAGAGUAACAAGUACUCUGAACUACUGAGUCGUCUCUCCAGCAGGUUCCUUCAUUCUCCAGUUGAAUACUUGCAAGUCUGGCUCUGCCCUUCAGCCCUGAUCGUUCCAGGUUCCUCCUUUUGUCUAACACUGCAGCAACUGCCAACACUUGCCUGGUUUCGAGGUACCUUGUCCAAGGCAAAAGGGAUCACUCAGCAAACACCUAAAGACCUGUUCAACCAUAAAAGAAGCCUUGAGCUACAAACCCUAAAUGUGGGGAGAAUGGAGUGUCUUCCUUGUGACUGAGUGGGCUCAAGGACCCCAUCUCACUGCCUAGCGCCACUCAGCUGUGAAGCAGAUAGAGGCUGCGUAUUAAAUGUCAGUGAGGGGGUGGACAGAUGGCUCAGUGGUUAAGAGCACUGACUGCUCUUCCAGAGGUCCUGAGUUCAAAUCCCAGCAACCACAUGGUGGCUCACAACCAUCUGUAAUGGGAUCUGGUGCCCUCUUCUGGUGUGUCUGAAGACAGCAACAGUGUACUUACAUACAUGGAAUAAAUAAAAUAAAUCUUUAAAAAAAAAA